GACGAACCACACAAACGUUAUUCGGAAUUACUGGGCUUAAAGGGUGCGUAGGCGGCGCGGAAAGUUGGAUGUGAAAUCCCUCGGCUCAACCGAGGAACUGCGCUCAAUACUACCGUGCUCGAGGGAGACAGAGGUGAGCGGAACUUAGGGUGGAGCGGUGAAAUGCGUUGAUAUCCUAAGGAACACCCGUGGCGAAAGCGGCUCACUGGGUCUCUUCUGACGCUGAGGCACGAAAGCUAGGGUAGCGAGCGGG
rnacentral:rRNA from 1 species